rnacentral:sRNA from 1 species
UCAGCUUCCAAACAGACUAGAGAUAAUAAAGACGAGAAUAUGUAACAAAAAAAGCCACCUUUUCCGGGGUGGCUUUUUUAAAUGUA